CCUACGGGUGGCAGCAGUGGGGAAUAUUGCACAAUGGGGGAAACCCUGAUGCAGCAACGCCGCGUGAGUGAAGAAGUAUUUCGGUAUGUAAAGCUCUAUCAGCAGGGAAGAAAAAGACUGUGCCAUAACUAAGAAUCCCUGGCUAAAUACGUGCAAGCAGCAGCGGUAAACUGUAGGGGGCAAGCGUUACCCGGAUUUACUGGGUGUAAAGGGAGCGUAGACGGCUGUGCAAGUCUGAAGUGAAAGCCCGUGGCUCAACCGCGGAACUGCUUUGGAAACUGUAUAGCUAGAGUGCUGGAGAGGCAGGCGGAAUUCCUAGUGUAGCGGUGAAAUGCGUAGAUAUUAGGAGGAACACCAGUGGCGAAGGCAGCCUGCUGGACUGAAACUGACGUUGAGGCUCGAAAGCGUGGGGAGCAAACAGGAUUAGAUACCCGUGUAGUC
rnacentral:rRNA from 1 species